rnacentral:rRNA from 1 species
UACGUAGGGUGCGAGCGUUGUCCGGAAUUACUGGGCGUAAAGAGCUCGUAGGCGGUUUGUCGCGUCUACCGUGAAAGUCCGCGGCUCAACUGCGGGCCUGCAGCCGAUACGGGCAGGCUAGAGUUCGGUAGGGGAGACUGGAAUUCCUGGUGUAGCGGUGAAAUGCGCAGAUAUCAGGAGGAACACCGGUGGCGAAGGCGGGGUCUCUGGGGCCGAUACUGA